rnacentral:rRNA from 1 species
AACGCUAGCUACAGGCUUAACACAUGCAAGUCGAGGGGCAGCGGGAUUGAAGCUUGCUUCAAUUGCCGGCGACCGGCGCACGGGUGAGUAACGCGUAUCCAACCUUCCGUACACUCAGGGAUAGCCUUUCGAAAGAAAGAUUAAUACCUGAUGGUAUGAUGAGAUUGCAUGAUAGCAUCACUAAAGAUUUAUCGGUGUACGAUGGGGAUGCGUUCCAUUAGGUAGUAGGCGGGGUAACGGCCCACCUAGCCUACGAUGGAUAGGGGUUCUGAGAGGAAGGUCCCCCACAUUGGAACUGAGACACGGUCCAAACUCCUACGGGAGGCAGCAGUGAGGAAUAUUGGUCAAUGGACGAGAGUCUGAACCAGCCAAGUAGCGUGAAGGAUGAAGGUCCUACGGAUUGUAAACUUCUUUUAUAAGGGAAUAAAACCUCCCACGUGUGGGAGCUUGUAUGUACCUUAUGAAUAAGCAUCGGCUAACUCCGUGCCAGCAGCCGCGGUAAUACGGAGGAUGCGAGCGUUAUCCGGAUUUAUUGGGUUUAAAGGGAGCGCAGACGGGUCGUUAAGUCAGCUGUGAAAGUUUGGGGCUCAACCUUAAAAUUGCAGUUGAUACUGGCGUCCUUGAGUGCGGUUGAGGUGUGCGGAAUUCGUGGUGUAGCGGUGAAAUGCUUAGAUAUCACGAAGAACUCCGAUUG